rnacentral:rRNA from 1 species
UAUUCCCCACUGCUGCCUCCCGUAGGAGUCUGGGCCGUGUCUCAGUCCCAAUGUGGCCGUCCGCCCUCUCAGGCCGGCUAUUGAUCGUCGCUUUGGUGGGCCGUUACCCCGCCAACUGGCUAAUCAAACGCGGAUCCAUUCUGUACCGAUAAAUCUUUUGCCUCAGGAGGAUGCCUUCCCGUGGUCUCAUGCGGUAUUACCAGCCGUUUCCAGCUGCUAUCCCCCAGUACAGUGCAGGUUCUCCACGCGUUACUCACCCGUCCGCCACUAUGUAAUGAAAUCUGUCCGAAAACUUCAAUCAUUGCACCGUUCGACUUGCAUGUGUUAGGCACGCCGCCAGCGUUCAUCCUGAGCCAA